rnacentral:tRNA from 1 species
UCCCUGGUGGUCCAGUGGUUACGACGCCACACUUCCAUUGCAGAGGGCACGGGUUUGAUCCCUGGUCAGGGAA